GAUAGCUUAUCCUAAUGGAUAACUGUGGUAAUUCUAGAGCUAAUACAUGUUACAAACCCCGACUCACGAAAGGGUGCGUUUAUUAGAACAAAGCCAAUCAGAUUUCGGUCUGUCUCAGGUUGACUCUGAAUAACUUAGCUAAUCGCAUGGUCUUCGUACCGGCGAUGUAUCUUUCAAAUGUCUGCCUUAUCAACUGUUGAUGGUAGAUUAUGCGCCUACCAUGGUUGUAACGGGUAACGGAGAAUCAGGGUUUGAUUCCGGAGAGGGAGCCUGAGAAACAGCUACCACAUCCAAGGAAGGCAGCAGGCACGCAAAUUACCCACCCCCAGCUCGGGGAGGUAGUGACGAAAAAUAACGAGACGUUGCUCUUUGAGUAUCGUCAUCGGAAUGAGUACAACCUAAAUACUUUAACGAGUAUCUAUUGGAGGGCAAGUCUGGUGCCAGCAGCCGCGGUAAUUCCAGCUCCAAUAGCGUAUAUUAAAGCUGUUGCGGUUAAAAAGCUCGUAGUUGGAUCUGAGACAAGAAACUGCGGUCCCCACAUGGGUUGUACUGCACGUUUCGGUCUAUGCAGUUGGUUGGUCCACAGUGCUCUUAAUUGAGUGUUGUGUGCUACUGACUACUUUACUUUGAAAAAAUUAGAGUGCUUAAAGCAGGCGUCUGCUCGAAUAUUGGUGCAUGGAAUAAUAAAAUAGGGCCUUGGUUCUAUUUUGUUGGUUUUAGGAGCACGAGGCAAUGAUUAAGAGAAACAGACGGGGGCAUUUGUAUUGCGACGUUAGAGGUGAAAUUCUUGGAUCGUCGCAAGACAAACAACUGCGAAAGCAUUUGCCAAGAAUGUUUUCAUUAAUCAAGAACGAAAGUUAGAGGUUCGAAAGGCGAUCAGAUACCGCCCUAGUUCUAACCGUAAACGAUGCCAACUAGAGAUUCGCAGAGUUAGUUUACGACUCUGCGAGCAGCUUCCCGGGAAACCAAAGUGUUUGGGUU
rnacentral:rRNA from 1 species